CUUCCUCCCUCUGGAUCUCAUGAUUAUUUUGUUCCCCUUCUAAGUGGGAUUGAAGCAUCCACACUUUGGCCUUCCUCCUUGUUAAGCUUCAUAUGGCCUGUGAGUUGUAUUCUGGGUAUUCUGAGCUUUUGGGCUACUAUCCACUUAUCAGUGAGUACAUACUCAAGCUAAAAGAAGAUUACAGAUAUUACUGUUUCUCCCCUCUUCGGACAGGCUGUGCCAAUCAGUGAUGCUGCUGGUAGAACUAGCUUUAUACAUAGUGAGGGUGUCUGGAAUCCAGAACCACUGAGUUGGAUUCAGAACAUUUGAAGGAGGAAGGAUCUUGGUGUGCAGUCAGGAGUCCUUCAUUUUCCAUUUCCCCAAAGGAAAGAUGCUGUUUUUUUUUUGUUUUUUUUUUUUUUUCCUACAAACACAGGAAGCUCACCUUUGGAAAGUCGUUGCAUGCCACCAGCAUGAUAGCUUGCAUGUAGGAGCUUAUUCUUCCAAAGCCUGGUGACCUGAGUGUGAUCCCAGGAACAUAUGUAAAGAGAAAUAAUGCCUCAAAGUUUUCCUUCUGAGUUUCACAAAUGUGCUGUGUCAUAUACGUGCACACUGCCACACAAAAGUGCAUGCAAAUACAAUAAAGGGAAUACAGAAGGGAGGGUCCACCAUGCCUUCUAAUACAGAAGUGCCCAAUAUUGAAUGAUGUUGGUGAGAGGACAAUUGGAAAUUUAAACCAGACUUUAGUGUAAUGCUUAUGAUUAAAAUGAAAAUAUUAGCAUGUUUUAAUUUUUGUAAAUAAAAUAGCCAAUUCAAUAAUAAUUAAGUGACAUUUUUAAAUGUAAGAAUUAAGUCUAUAAUUGAUGAAUUAUGACAAUAAGCCUCUUAGUUUUACAGGCAUAAUAUGACAAGAAAAAUAAACCUAUUUCCCUACUUAGAAGUGAAAUAUAAGUAACAGCUCUGAAUUAUCCCGGCCCAUGGAUAUGACAGUUAAUAGAUGGUAGAUAUUGGCACUUUGCUUAGUAGAUUAUCAUUUACUGUCAUUAUUUUAAUUAGAAUUUGAUCAUCUAUUUUUUCCAUCUGUUUAAAUCAUGAAUGACAAAUUUCUUACCCUUAAACAAAAUCUUUAUUUAUCAUAAAGUAAUUUUUAUCAAGACUGUUAUCAAAGGAGGGGGAGACCAUAAUUGGACUCAUUUAACUCUGGGGCCCUGAGUGUACUUGGCACACUGCAGUAAAUUAAUAAAAACAGCUUUAAGUGACUAAUAUGUUCACAUUCAGCUUCCCAAACACUCUUAAAUUUUCAUUUAUCUUAAAUAUCAGAUUGUUUGAGCAUAAAGUUUGUAACCACACCAUGUAAGGUUCAGAUGGAUUUAUUUUGUUACACCCCUGAGCCCUGUGUGCAGCAUAGAGAUAUAUCAGUCUCUUAGUCGUCCCUACAGUCACAUGUAGUUCUCCUGACAGAGCUCAAGAGAAUGCUUCUGAGAAACAGCAGUAUCUGUAGAUGAAAUUCUGGGAAAUUUUAUUCUGGAGACAGGGAGCCACAGAGGGGUCAGUGGAAGUCUCACUGCCUAACGGAGGAAGUUGUGAGAAUUAUUUCUGACUAGACUCAACUGAAUCAUAGAGUGAGAGAUACUAAUUUUAGGACUAGAUUAUGAAUUUUGUACAAUGUUCAUCAGGAAGGAAUGUCACCCUGUAUUGUGUGAAAGUUCAGAAUGGUUUCAAGAAUUUGGAUUGCAGGAACUAACCUUACUUGGCUUGCCUCUUCACUUUUAUCCCUGGUGUUCUUGUCUUUGAGCCCAUUUGAUUCAAUGUUUCCUUAAUUUUGAACCCAACUUUACAUUUGAUCUUUCUCUAUUUUAAAAUUGACUUCCAUUAUGUAAUCAUGUAGCUAUUACUAAAUGGUAGGUUUUUAGAAACAAUUUUCUCACUCCCAGCCUGCUCUUGGAGUUUGCUUAGGUCUUGCACAUAAGUGGCACCAGUCAAAGCUUUGGGGGGCUGCGUGCAAAGCAGGAAUGCAUCCCCAUGUAUCACAUGUGCAAUUUAUCCCUCUGCCGAUGACAAUCAUUCAGAUGCUUUCUAAUUCACACAAGGAAAACACAGAGGCACAUGAUCAAGGACACUCUACUGAAAGAGGAGACAUUAGGUUUCUAUCCCUGUGGCCUAGUGAUGCUCUAUUCAGGUUUCCACUUCUUGGAAUGUAACUAUGACACCUUAUGCAUACUUUUCAGUGAGUAACAUACACAAAAAGGAUUUGAAGAAUAAGGUGUGCCAGGAAAGACUGAUGACUCUAUGGAGGUCACGUAGGCUACACAUCAGGCUUAGAGACAGAAGACUCUUACUUUGUAAUUUUCAUUUUAAAAAUAUGCAAGAGCUGUCUCUACUGUUAGCCCCACCCUUGAGUCUGAAACUUUUGGGGGUAGCCUACACUCACUUUACGUGCAUCUAAUUCAAAAGCAACAGACCUGAACAGUUGAAUGUCUUCUCAAGCCAAACUCUUAUGCCCAUAUCUGCAUUUUUUUAUGCCUCCUGUGCCUGAAGCCUAUUCAUCAUAACUUUUGUAGUUUGAGAGUAGCUGGAUUUGAGAAUACCUUUUUAGAGGACCACACAAAAGAGGAUAAAGGCAGCUAUUACCUUGAAAAUUCCUGUUUCUGGGAGACAAGUACUGAAAACAAUAAUGUAAAUACUUAAAGAGCAAGUAGCUGUUUCUGCUAUCAUUUAUUUGGUGGUAUACUUUUCUUUCAAUAUGUGGAGGUGAAUGCUGAAAAAUAUAAUGACAUCCUGAUGAAUAAUUGUCCAUGUAAUUAUUAUGUAAUCUUAGUGCAAUCUGUUAUGAAUAAAACUACUUCAGAAAUUGAAUUGUUGACAACUGAACUUUAUAUAGAUGAUUAUAUAUUUUCAGCUAAGUUUCAGUCAAUAUCAAAAGUGAACACCAAUAGGACAUAAUGGAAUAGUUGGUUUUGGAGAAGAAGGGAUUUCACAGAUAAAGUAUCUAUAACAUAUACUUAUAUGGGAAUCUGCUUUUUAAUACAUUUAUGUUUUCUGAUUAAACAUUCUGAUUUAUACAUUUUCUUGCAAGUGGGAAUUAUAUGAUGGUGAUGAUUUUAUCCCAAAUUUUUGGGAUAAUUUUUGCUGUCUUAUUGCCAUGUUUAUAUUACUUCAUGAAUAUGCAAUAUUAAAUUAGUUUAUUAAUGCAUGCUUUUUCUCAUGGAUUUAAAGGAAGAGUAUGAAAAAAAACAGGGAAAGUAACUAAUACUUCUGCAUCUCCUAGCCUCCUUGCCCCCAACCCAGGUCAAAAAGCAAAACCUCCCACCAGGUCCAAUUUGUCUCACCCAUAGUUUCAUUGGAACAUGGUCAUACUCCCAGAGAACAGCUCCUUAAAGAAAAUGAGUGCUUCCCCACCCCCUCACCAGAAGCCAUCAACUAUGAAGAGCUUUAGCAACUUUCUCCCAUUGUUGAGAAACUGUUCAACAGCAGCUUCCUGUCUGGACUGUUCCUUGGGAGGAGGGAACUGUCACAGAAAUAUACAAUGUCUCUCAUUCUCAGUCAUGAGUAGAGUACUCUGCACCACUGCAAGAGAAGCUUGCCUGCCAAUAGCAGCCAGCUCUGGUAGCUGCAGCAUUGGAUUGGAAACAUGAAUAUGGAAUUUGUUGGCAGCAGGGAUCAUGGACAUCACCAUGACCUCCUGUGGCACUAUGAACAACAGAAGACUUUUGAGAAGGCUUAAUCCAAAGAAAGAAAGAAAG
rnacentral:lncRNA from 1 species